rnacentral:tRNA from 1 species
GGGGAUUUAGCUCAGUGGCAUAAGCGCCUGCCUUGUAAGCAGGCAGUUGUCAGUUUGAUCCCUG